GCACCUGAUCCAGCCAUGCCGCGUGAGUGAUGAAGGCCCUAGGGUCGUAAAGCUCUUUCGCCUGUGAAGAUAAUGACUGUAGCAGGUAAAGAAACCCCGGCUAACUCCGUGCCAGCAGCCGCGGUAAUACGGAGGGGGUUAGCGUUGUUCGGAAUUACUGGGCGUAAAGCGCGCGUAGGCGGACUGGAAAGUUGGGGGUGAAAUCCCAGGGCUCAACCCUGGAACUGCCUCCAAAACUAUCAGUCUAGAGUUCGAGAGAGGUGAGUGGAAUUCCGAGUGUAGAGGUGAAAUUCGUAGAUAUUCGGAGGAACACCAGUGGCGAAGGCGGCUCACUGGCUCGAUACUGACGCUGAGGUGCGAAAGUGUGGGGAGCAAACAGGAUUAGAUACCCUGGUAGUCCACACCGUAAACGAUGAAUGCCAGUCGUCGGGUAGCAUGCUAUUCGGUGACACACCUAACGGAUUAAGCAUUCCGCCUGGGGAGUACGGUCGCAAGAUUAAAACUCAAAUG
rnacentral:rRNA from 1 species